UGCAUUCUCAUGGAUACUAGGUCGGUUUUGCCCAAAAGCCCUGCUCAGUCUCUGGGGUCAAGCUGGGUCUGACAGGAACUCGUGGGGACUUCGUGGGACAAGGGACUCUCCACAAUGGUCAGGAGACCCACAAGCCACAUGGGCGUGGACAGCAAAAAGGACACCAACCCGGGGCAAUUCACCCCACCCCUGAGGAGGGCAGAGCAGGCUGAGUGCCCCCCUGUGAACAGCCUGCACGGGCAGGAAGCAGAAGCCCAGGGCUGCGCUCCCAGAGAGCCCUGUCCUCCCCCGAAGAUCCCUGGGGGCAAAGGGGCAACGCUGGGAAAGGGUUUUCAUGCCAGCUUUCAGGCGGAAAGCCCACCUCCAAAAAUCUUAGAGAAACUUAAUAUUCCCUCCCCUCCCCCCGCAGCCCCUCAAUUGGGAAUCAAGGCGACAGGAGCUCGGCUUCCACUCAGCAACCUGAAAUCAUCGCUCUAGAAACUGAGGCUCAGAGGGGACCACAGACUUCUCCCUGAAAAGGCCGCAAGACCUGGAAACCGGGGUUCAGAGAGGUGCAGUGACUCGCGGCAGGACACCCCGCUGAGUCGGAGGCGCUGGGAAGCCGCGCUCCUCCCGGGUCCAGGGCGCAGAGCUGCGCGCGGAGACUCUCACAAAGACCACGUCGUCUCGUGUCCGGUUCCUUCCAGCCCGGGGACAAGGUCCAUUCAUCACCGCGAUUCCCGGGACGGCGGGGGAAGCGAGCGGGCGGCGCGGACCCGCGGAACCCGCCGCCCCCGCCCCGCGCCCGCGCCCCCCCGCCGCUCACCUCGCGUACUUCGUCUUCUGGAAAUCCAGGAGCCGGGGAGCGAACAUCGCGGCGGUUCCAUCAGCCUCCAGCCGGGGGCUCAGACCGCGGCAACUUGCAAAAGGCCGCGGGGCGGGAGCAGCAGGUCGGCCGGCUCGGGGCGGGGGCGGCCGGGGGCGCGCGGAGCGGAGCUGGAGCCGAGCCGGGAGCCGCCGACGCCAAAUCCCGAGCAGAUGGUGGCGGGCGGGGGGGGGGGGGGGGGGCUCCGGGCCAAUCGCCUGAGUCCCCGAGGCCCCGGCCCCCUCCCCGCGCGGGGCGGACCCCUCCUGGCCUCGCUGGGGGGAGGGGAGACCCGGGGGGGAGGGAUGGGGGCUUGGGGGGGCUUCUUCCUCUGCCGCUUCUUCCUCGCUCCCGGGGCCCCCUCCUACGGUCGUUUUGCAGCUAGAAGACGGCCUGUUAGACGGAGUCCCGGCGGGCCUGGGCUGGAAGGGGGCGGGCAUGCCCUUCAGCCCCUCGCCUGGUCGACCCCGGAGAGUAUUUGA
rnacentral:lncRNA from 1 species